rnacentral:rRNA from 1 species
AAUUAAAUUAUUAUUUAUAUAAUUGUUGUUUAUUAAAAAUAGUUAAAAAUAAAAAUUUUAAUUUUUAUUAUAUUAAGGGAAAAAAUAAUAUUUAUUAUAGGGUAAUAGUAUUGUGAAAGAAAUAAUUAUAAUUAUAAAAAAGAAGAAUUUAAUUUUUGUACCUUGUGUAUCAGGGUUUAUUAAAAAUUAUUGAAGAUUCAUAAUUCUCGAAUUUAAAAGAGCUAUAUUAUUAUAUAUUUUAUUGUAAAAUAAAUAUUUUAAAUAGAUUUUAUAGAUGUGAAAUGCUAUUCGUUUUUAAAUAUAUCUAGUUUUUUAAGAAAAAAAUUAAAUUUUAUUUUUAUUUUAUUAUUAUAUUAAUUAUUUAAUUUAAUAAUAAUAAAAUUUUAUAAAUUAAGGGAUGAGCUUUAAUUUAUAUUUAUAUAAUAUUUUUAUAAAUUUAAUUUAAUAGAAUUAGAAGUUUUUAUUUUUAUAGUGUUUUAUUACUAAAUUAAAAUUAAUAUAAUUUAUAUUUAAAAUAUUUAUGUUUUAUAUUAAGAUAUAGUAUUUAAUAAAAAAAUUUUAGUGAUAAUGAUGGAAUUAGUAUAAAUUUUUUUAAUUAGUUAAUAUUUUUAAAAGAUUAAUAAAAGGAAUUAGGCAAAAUAAUUUUCACCUGUUUAUUAAAAACAUGUCCUUUUGAAAUUAAUUUAAGGUCUAACCUGCCCUAUGAAUAUUAAAUGGCCGCGGUAAUUUGACCGUGCAAAGGUAGCAUAAUCAUUAGUUUUUUAAUUGAAAGCUGGAAUGAAAGGUUUGAUGAGAAAUUAACUGUCUCUUAUUAAAUUAUUAGAACUUUAUUUUUAAGUUAAAAAGCUUAAAUAUUUAUAGAAGACGAGAAGACCCUAUAGAAUUUUAUAUAUUUAAUUAUUAUUUAUUUUGAGAUUUAAAUUAUUUAAUAAAAAUUAUAUUUAAUUGGGGUGAUUGAAAAAUUGAGUAAACUUUUUUUGUAUUUAAACAUUAAUAUAUGAAUAAUUGAUCCUUUUUAGAUUAUAAGAAUAAAUUACCUUAGGGAUAACAGCGUUAUUUUUUUUAGAGUUCUUAUUAAAAAAAAAGAUUGCGACCUCGAUGUUGGAUUAAAGUUAAAAUUUGGUGCAGAAGCUAAAUGUUUAAGUCUGUUCGACUUUUAAAACUUUACAUGAUCUGAGUUUAAACCGGUGUGAGCCAGGUUGGUUUCUAUCUCUAUAAAUUUAUAAUAUUUUAGUACGAAAGGACCAAAUAUUAAUUUAAUAAAUUUAUUUAGAAUAAUACUA